UACAGAGGGUGCAAGCGUUAUUCGGAUUCACUGGGCGUAAAGGGUGCGCAGGCGGCCGAGUGUGUGAGGCGUGAAAGCCCGGGGCUUAACCCCGGAAUUGCACCUCAAACUACACGGCUAGAGCAUUGGAGAGGGUAGCAGAAUUCAUGGUGUAGCAGUGAAAUGCGUAGAUAUCAUGAGGAAUACCAGAGGCGAAGGCGGCUACCUGGACAAUUGCUGACGCUCAGGCACGAAAGCGUGGGGAGCAAAAGGG
rnacentral:rRNA from 1 species